GAUGAACGCUGGCGGCGUGCCUAAUACAUGCAAGUCGAGCGAACGGACGAGAAGCUUGCUUCUCUGAUGUUAGCGGCGGACGGGUGAGUAACACGUGGAUAACCUACCUAUAAGACUGGGAUAACUUCGGGAAACCGGAGCUAAUACCGGAUAAUAUUUUGAACCGCAUGGUUCAAAAGUGAAAGACGGUCUUGCUGUCACUUAUAGAUGGAUCCGCGCUGCAUUAGCUAGUUGGUAAGGUAACGGCUUACCAAGGCAACGAUGCAUAGCCGACCUGAGAGGGUGAUCGGCCACACUGGAACUGAGACACGGUUCAGACUCCUACGGGAGGCAGCAGUAGGGAAUCUUCCGCAAUGGGCGAAAGCCUGACGGAGCAACGCCGAGUGAGUGAUGAAGGUCUUCGGAUCGUAAAACUCUGUUAUUAGGGAAGAACAUAUGUGUAAGUAACUGUGCACAUCUUGACGGUACCUAAUCAGAAAGCCACGGCUAACUACGUG
rnacentral:rRNA from 1 species